UCCGUAGGCGGUGCGGCAAGUCGGAAGUGAAAUCUCCGGGCUUAACCCGGAGGCUGCUUCCGAAACUGCCGUGCUAGAGUGUGAGAGAGGCGAGUGGAAUUGCGGGUGUAGCGGUGAAAUGCGUAGAUAUCCGCAGGAACAUCCGAGGCGAAAGCGGCUCGCUGGAUCGCAACUGACGCUGAGGGACGAAAGCUAGGGGAGCAAACAGGAUUAGAUACCCUGGUAGUCCUAGCCCUAAACCAUCAGGACUUGGGGUUUGCCCUGUACGGGGCAAGUCCCGGAGCUAACGCGUUAAGUCCUGCGCCUGGGGAGUACGGUCGCAAGGCUAGAA
rnacentral:rRNA from 1 species